GGGAUGGAAGCGCUACGGAAGACGAUACGGAUGGUAAACCUAACGAACCACCGUGGCUCUUGGGGACGAAGGAGAGACGUAGACUGUUCACAGGUUCGACUGUUGGCCGGAACUCGCUGUUUGAUGCUAGCGAUGGGCGAGGAGAGGGGGAAAGGGGAUCUACCUGCCAUCUACAUCAUGCGAGUGAAGUGGAUUGGAGUCUACUCACUGUUCUUCCUUGAACAGUGAAAAU
rnacentral:lncRNA from 1 species